AAAGCGCCGUCGGCGAGCCCACGUGGGUGUGUGUGUUGACGGAACAACUUCCUGGUGAGAAACGCGACUGUCGAAGGUGGGCAGACUCGACGUUUUCGCCAUGGGCAAACGCCGGAGCCGGACCCAGAGCCAGCUGCUCAACAGCCUAACUAAAAAGCAGAAGAAGCAUCUCCGGGAUUUCGGCGAGGAGCAUCCCUUCUAUGACAGGGUUUCCAGAAAGGAAGGAAAGCCACAGAUUUGUCAACUGUCAGAGAGUUCAGAUACUUCAAAUUCUGAAAGCGAAGCAGAAAGUGAACCAGAACAAGUUUCUGGGUACCACAAACUACUUGCUACAUUAAAGACUGUUUCUGAGGAAGAAAAGGAAGAUGAGGAGGAGGAGGAAGAGGAAGAAGAAGACAGUGUUGUAGGUGAUACAGAAAUGAAUGAUGAAGAUGAUGAUAGUGAUGUCAGUGUGGAAGAAGAGAAGGCAGCGGAGUCUACUGAAAUGCAAGAAAAUGUGGCCUUAUCUGCUGACCCUGAGGGAAAAGAUGGGGAAGGGCCACCUGGCACAUCACAAGAAUCCCCCGAGGAGUUCACAGAUGCCAAACAUGAGUUACUGUUCAGCCUGGAAACCAAUUUUCUCGAAGAGGAAAGUGGAAACGACUCUUCUUUGAAAGCAUCACAAGAUCCAUUUCUACAACAUGUGAACAAAGAACUGAAAGAAAAAGACAUUCAGGCUUUUGCCACAAAUCCCAAAACUACCCACCAGCUAAAAUGGCCUGUUCUAGGCCAGCUUGUCUUUUCAUCCAAGUUUCAGAAGUUGGAAACAUUUAAACCCCCAAAGGAUAUUGACUUCGAGUCACUUCAUCUCCAGAAGCCUCUGGGAUCUACCUGGACCAAGACCAACAGCCAGUUCCUGUCUGGUCCCCAAAAAUCAAGUAGCCCCUUCACCCCUCUCCAGAAAGAACUCUUCUUAAUUAUGAAUUCUUACCAGGACCUGUUCUACCCAGAAAGGAAUGCCCUAAAGAAUGGGGAAGAGAUCCGCCACGUGUACUGCCUGCAUGUGAUAAACCAUGUCCUUAAAGCCAACGCCCAGGUGCUUGGCAACAAUAGCAGACGCCGAAGCCAGAAAUUUGGAGUGGGUAACGAUGAUGACUUCAGGGACCAAGGGCUAACCAGGCCCAAGGUACUGAUAGUGGUGCCAUUUCGGGAAGCUGCUUUGCGGGUGGUGCAACUCUUCAUCAGCCUCCUUGAGGGCGACAGCAAGAAGAAAAUCAUUGUGAGCAACAAAAAGAGGUUUCAAGGAGAGUAUGGCUCUGAUCCCGAGGAGAGACCACCCAACUUGAAGAGGCCUGAGGAUUAUGAAGCUGUGUUUGCAGGCAACAUUGAUGACCACUUCAGGAUUGGAGUGGCAAUACUUCAGAGGAGCAUCCGACUCUACGCCCCCUUUUACUCCUCGGAUAUCCUCAUUGCUUCCCCUCUGGGCUUGAGGACCAUCAUUGGUGGAGAAGGAGAGAAGAAGAGGGAUUUUGACUUUUUGUCUUCUAUUGAGCUUCUCGUCAUUGAUCAAGCUGACAUUUACCUGAUGCAGAACUGGGAGCAUGUCCUGCAUUUGAUGAACCACAUGAACCUCCUACCCCUGGACUCACAUGGGGUAGACUUUUCUCGAGUGCGGAUGUGGAGCCUCAAUAAUUGGUCCAAGUACUAUCGGCAGACAUUGCUGUUUGGGGCCCUGCAGGAUGCCCAGGUCAACUCAGUGUUCAACAAGUACUGCACCAAUCUGCAAGGCCAGGUGGCCGUGAAGAAUGUUCCAAUGACAGGCUCCAUCAAUCAUGUCCUGGUGCAGCUCCCACAUGUCUUCCAGAGAAUGGAAGUCGACAGCCUAGCUUCAGUGAUCGAUGCCAGGUUUAACUUUUUUGUGAAUAAGAUUCUGCCUCAGUACCGCGAUGCAGUCAUGUCUCACACGCUCAUCUACAUCCCCUCCUACUUUGAUUUCGUGCGUCUCCGAAAUUUCUUUAAGAAGGAGGAACUGAACUUCACCCACAUCUGCGAGUAUACCCAGAAGUCUGGCGUCUCCAGGGCCAGACACUUUUUCCUUCAAGGAGAGAAGCAGUUUCUGCUCCUCACAGAGCGGUUCCAUUUCUACAAAAGAUAUACAAUAAAAGGCAUCAGGAACCUGAUUUUCUAUGAACUGCCAACAUAUCCGCACUUCUACAGUGAAAUCUGUAAUAUGCUGAGAGCUACCGACAGAGGAGAAGAAGCCACGUGGACCUGCACCGCCCUCUACUCCAAGUACGAUGCCCAGAGGUUAGCUGCCGUGGUUGGCGUGGAGCGAGCAGCACAGAUGCUACAGUCUAAGAAGAAUGUUCACCUCUUUAUUACUGGAGAAAACUGAGAUUCUGUUAGACAGGAAAUAGCGUUUGGCAUGAUACAUAGUGCUUGGUUCUCUGCCACUUGGCCCCAAUUCUGAUUAUUUAUACAGGAGAGGGAUUGAUACCAGUAUUGGAGUGAUACAAGAGCACUAGCCAAUGUCAGUAUAUUAUCUGAUACUUCUUUCUUUUCAGGUCAUUUGUCCCUGAAAAGUUACAUGUAAACCACAUUUUGGUGAGUCAUAUCUUUCAGAGGUGAAGAGGGGGUUAGAAGGACUCUGAGAAGAUGAUAGAAGGCAACUUCCACUUGUAAACCUUUUUGGACAUCCCAGAAGUGAUACAUGAGUCCUCCCUCCAUGUCCUCCAUGUGUCAGGUGGCACAAGACAUCCAUUUGUCCGUCGCUGAUGACGCUAACUUUGACCGCUUGUUUAAGGUGAUGUUUGCAAGACUUUUCUACUAUAGAGCGACUGUUUUACGCUUCAUGUAUUAAUUUAUACAGAUUGAACCUCUCUAAUCCAAAAAUUUGAAAUACAAGGUGCUCUAAAAUUCAAAACUAUUUGAGCAGCAACCUGAGCUCAAAGGAAAUGCUCAUUGGACCGUUUUGGAUUGCAUUGCAAAAUAAUGCAGAUAUUUCAAAAUUAAAAAAAAAAAAUCCAAAAUCGGAAACACUUCUGGUCCCAAACAUUUCAGCUAAGAGAUAUUCAACCUGUAUGAGUAUGGACUUGUAUUUUCCUGUGUUCAGCGAGUGCCAUUCCAUUACUGUCAUUAUUUCUUCAGGGGUGUAGCUGGUCUCUGAGACGCCCAGUGGGAGCACCGUCAAGCUGGCUUCUGUGUCCUUUUGACAGGUUCCCUUUCUACUUGGGCAUUGCUGUAUUUUUUGACAAUAGAAUUUUCAGGCUUCUCUACUCCAACCCUGCUUUCUUUUAGUGGAAAAUUAUUUUAAAAGCUAAGAUUUGAGUGCUAGAUGUGCCCACAUCUAUAGAUGUGCCCUGUGGGUAUUGGCAUAUUUAUGCUGCUGUCUACCAUAGAUCCUAUGUAUUAUAAAAAAAGAAAUGAGUUCAUGUGCUUAGUUCAGAAAUAUGAGGCAAAGG